rnacentral:rRNA from 1 species
GGUUAAGCGACUAAGCGUACACGGUGGAUGCCCUGGCAGUCAGAGGCGAUGAAGGACGUGCUAAUCUGCGAAAAGCGCCGGCGAGGUGAUAUGAACCUUUGACCCGGCGAUGUCCGAAUGGGGAAACCCAGUGCAAUUCGUUGCACUAUCGUUAACUGAAUACAUAGGUUAACGAGGCGAACCGGGGGAACUGAAACAUCUAAGUACCCCGAGGAAAAGAAAUCAACCGAGAUUCCCCCAGUAGCGGCGAGCGAACGGGGAGCAGCCCAGAGUCUGAAUCAGCUUGUGUGUUAGUGGAACGGUCUGGAAAGUCCGGCGAUACAGGGUGACAGCCCCGUACACGAAAGCACACAGGUUGUGAACUCGAAGAGUAGGGCGGGACACGUGGUAUCCUGUCUGAAUAUGGGGGGACCAUCCUCCAAGGCUAAAUACUCCUGACUGACCGAUAGUGAACCAGUACCGUGAGGGAAAGGCGAAAAGAACCCCGGCGAGGGGAGUGAAAAAGAACCUGAAACCGUGUACGUACAAGCAGUGGGAGCACCUUCGUGGUGUGACUGCGUACCUUUUGUAUAAUGGGUCAGCGACUUAUAUUCUGUAGCAAGGUUAACCGUAUAGGGGAGCCGAAGGGAAACCGAGUCUUAACUGGGCGUUAAGUUGCAGGGUAUAGACCCGAAACCCGGUGAUCUAGCCAUGGGCAGGUUGAAGGUUGGGUAACACUAACUGGAGGACCGAACCGACUAAUGUUGAAAAAUUAGCGGAUGACUUGUGGCUGGGGGUGAAAGGCCAAUCAAACCGGGAGAUAGCUGGUUCUCCCCGAAAGCUAUUUAGGUAGCGCCUCGUGAACUCAUCUUCGGGGGUAGAGCACUGUUUCGGCUAGGGGGCCAUCCCGGCUUACCAACCCGAUGCAAACUACGAAUACCGAAGAAUGUUAUCACGGGAGACACACGGCGGGUGCUAACGUCCGUCGUGAAGAGGGAAACAACCCAGACCGCCAGCUAAGGUCCCAAAGUCAUGGUUAAGUGGGAAACGAUGUGGGAAGGCACAGACAGCCAGGAUGUUGGCUUAGAAGCAGCCAUCAUUUAAAGAAAGCGUAAUAGCUCACUGGUCGAGUCGGCCUGCGCGGAAGAUGUAACGGGGCUAAACCAUGCACCGAAGCUGCGGCAGCGACGCUUAGGCGUUGUUGGGUAGGGGAGCGUUCUGUAAGCCGUUGAAGGUGUGCUGUGAGGCAUGCUGGAGGUAUCAGAAGUGCGAAUGCUGACAUAAGUAACGAUAAAGCGGGUGAAAAGCCCGCUCGCCGGAAGACCAAGGGUUCCUGUCCAACGUUAAUCGGGGCAGGGUGAGUCGACCCCUAAGGCGAGGCCGAAAGGCGUAGUCGAUGGGAAACAGGUUAAUAUUCCUGUACUUGGUGUUACUGCGAAGGGGGGACGGAGAAGGCUAUGUUAGCCGGGCGACGGUUGUCCCGGUUUAAGCAUGUAGGCGGAACGAUUAGGUAAAUCCGGUCGUUUAUUAACGCUGAGGUGUGAUGACGAGGCACUACGGUGCUGAAGUAACAAAUGCCCUGCUUCCAGGAAAAGCCUCUAAGCAUCAGGUAACAUCAAAUCGUACCCCAAACCGACACAGGUGGUCAGGUAGAGAAUACCAAGGCGCUUGAGAGAACUCGGGUGAAGGAACUAGGCAAAAUGGUGCCGUAACUUCGGGAGAAGGCACGCUGAUAUGUAGGUGAAGCCCCUGCGGGUGGAGCUGAAAUCAGUCGAAGAUACCAGCUGGCUGCAACUGUUUAUUAAAAACACAGCACUGUGCAAACACGAAAGUGGACGUAUACGGUGUGACGCCUGCCCGGUGCCGGAAGGUUAAUUGAUGGGGUUAGCGGCAACGCGAAGCUCUUGAUCGAAGCCCCGGUAAACGGCGGCCGUAACUAUAACGGUCCUAAGGUAGCGAAAUUCCUUGUCGGGUAAGUUCCGACCUGCACGAAUGGCGUAAUGAUGGCCAGGCUGUCUCCACCCGAGACUCAGUGAAAUUGAACUCGCUGUGAAGAUGCAGUGUACCCGCGGCAAGACGGAAAGACCCCGUGAACCUUUACUAUAGCUUGACACUGAACACUGGUCCUUGAUGUGUAGGAUAGGUGGGAGGCUUUGAAGCGUGGACGCCAGUCUGCGUGGAGCCAACCUUGAAAUACCACCCUUUAAUGGCUGGUGUUCUAACGUAGACCCGUGAUCCGGGUUGCGGACAGUGUCUGGUGGGUAGUUUGACUGGGGCGGUCUCCUCCCAAAGAGUAACGGAGGAGCACGAAGGUUAGCUAAUCCUGGUCGGACAUCAGGAGGUUAGUGCAAUGGCAUAAGCUAGCUUGACUGCGAGAGUGACGGCUCGAGCAGGUGCGAAAGCAGGUCAUAGUGAUCCGGUGGUUCUGAAUGGAAGGGCCAUCGCUCAACGGAUAAAAGGUACUCCGGGGAUAACAGGCUGAUACCGCCCAAGAGUUCAUAUCGACGGCGGUGUUUGGCACCUCGAUGUCGGCUCAUCACAUCCUGGGGCUGAAGUAGGUCCCAAGGGUAUGGCUGUUCGCCAUUUAAAGUGGUACGCGAGCUGGGUUUAGAACGUCGUGAGACAGUUCGGUCCCUAUCUGCCGUGGGCGCUGGAGAAUUGAGGGGGGCUGCUCCUAGUACGAGAGGACCGGAGUGGACGCAUCACUGGUGUUCGGGUUGUCAUGCCAAUGGCACUGCCCGGUAGCUAAAUGCGGAAAAGAUAAGUGCUGAAAGCAUCUAAGCACGAAACUUGCCCCGAGAUGAGUUCUCCCUGACCCUUUAAGGGUCCUGAAGGAACGUUGAAGACUACGACGUUGAUAGGUCGGGUGUGUAAGCGCAGCGAUGCGUUGAGCUAACCGAUACUAAUGAACCGUGAGGCUUAACCUU